rnacentral:rRNA from 1 species
AUACGUAGGGGGCGAGCGUUGUCCGGAAUGACUGGGCGUAAAGGGCGCGUAGGCGGCCGUACAAGUCUUGCGUGAAAGUCCCGCUUUCAAGGUGGGAAUUGCGAGGGAAACUGUAUGGCUUGAGUGCGGAAGAGGUAAGUGGAAUUCCCAGUGUAGCGGUGAAAUGCGUAGAGAUUGGGAGGAACACCAGUGGCGAAGGCGACUUACUGGGCCGUAACUGACGCUGAGGCGCGAAAGCGUGGGGAGCGAACAGGAUUAGAUACCCUGGUAGUCCACGCGGUAAACGAUGAGUGCUAGGUGUAGGGGGUAUCGACCCCUCCUGUGCCGCAGUAAACACAAUAAGCACUCCGCCUGGGGAGUACGGCCGCAAGGUUGAA